GAUGAACGCUGGCGGCGUGCCUAAUACAUGCAAGUCGAGCGAACAGAUGAGGAGCUUGCUCCUCUGACGUUAGCGGCGGACGGGUGAGUAACACGUGGAUAACCUACCUAUAAGACUGGGAUAACUUCGGGAAACCGGAGCUAAUACCGGAUAAUAUAUUGAACCGCAUGGUUCAAUAGUGAAAGACGGUUUUGCUGUCACUUAUAGAUGGAUCCGCGCCGCAUUAGCUAGUUGGUAAGGUAACGGCUUACCAAGGCAACGAUGCGUAGCCGACCUGAGAGGGGGAUCGGCCACACUGGAACUGAGAAACGGUCCAGACUCCUACGGGAGGCAGCAGUAGGGAAUCUUCCGCAAUGGGCGAAAGCCUGACGGAGCAACGCCGCGUGAGUGAUGAAGGUCUUCGGAUCGUAAACCUCUGUUAUUAGGGAAGAACAAAUGGGUAAGUAACUAUGCACGUCUGGACGGUACCUAAUCAGAAAGCCACGGCUAACUACGG
rnacentral:rRNA from 1 species